ACGAGCGCUGGCGGCGUGCUUAACACAUGCAAGUCGAACGGUGAAGCGCCUUCCUUUUUGGUGGGUGUGGAUGAGUGGCGAACGGGUGAGUAACACGUGAGUAACCUGCCCCCUUCUUCUGGAUAACCGCAUGAAAGUGUGGCUAAUACGGGAUAUUCUGGGUCUGUCGCAUGAUGGGUCUGGGAAAGAUAUUGUUUCGGUGGGGGAUGGGCUCGCGGCCUAUCAGCUUGUUGGUGGGGUGAUGGCCUACCAAGGCGGUGACGGGUAGCCGGCCUGAGAGGGUGGACGGUCACACUGGGACUGAGACACGGCCCAGACUCCUAUGGGAGGCAGCAGUGGGGAAUAUUGCGCAAUGGGCGCAAGCCUGAUGCAGCGACGCCGCGUGAGGGAUGGAGGCCUUCGGGUUGUGAACCUCUUUCGCCAGUGAAGCAGGCCUGCCUCGUUUGUGGGUGGGUUGACGGUAGCUGGAUAAGAAGCGCCGGCUAACUACGU
rnacentral:rRNA from 1 species